UACGGAGGAUCCAGGCGUUAUCCGGAUUUAUUAGGUUUAAAGGGUACGUAGGCGGAAAAAUAAGUCAGUGGUGAAAUCCUGCAGCUCAACUGUAGAACUGCCAUUGAAACUGUUUUUCUUGAGUAUAGUUGAGGUGGGCGGAAUGUGUCAUGUAGCGGUGAAAUGCUUAGAUAUGACACAGAACACCGAUUGCGUAGGCAGCUCACUAAACUAUCACUGACGCUGAGGUACGAAAGCGUGGGGAGCGAACAGGAUUAGAUACCCCAGUA
rnacentral:rRNA from 1 species